AUACGGAGGGUGCAAGCGUUAUCCGGAAUCAUUGGGUUUAAAGGGUCCGCAGGCGGAUUAAUAAGUCAGUGGUGAAAUCCUCUCGCUCAACGAGAGAACUGCCAUUGAAACUGUUAGUCUUGAAUUCGGUCGAAGUAGGCGGAAUGUGUCAUGUAGCGGUGAAAUGCAUAGAUAUGACACAGAACACCGAUAGCGAAGGCAGCUUACUAGACCUGGAUUGACGCUCAUGGACGAAAGCGUGGGGAGCGAACAGGAUUAGAUACCCGUGUAGUCC
rnacentral:rRNA from 1 species